rnacentral:tRNA from 1 species
GCGCCGAUGGUGUAGGGCGUAGCAUUGCUGCCCGGAAAGCAGACGAUGCGGCUUCGAGUCCCGCCUGGCACA